AAUAGAUACCCGGGUAGUCCACGCCGUAAACGAUGGAUGCUAGCUAUUGGGGGGAAUCGACCCCCUCCCGAAGCGAAGCUAACGCGUUAAGCAUCCCGCCUGAGUAGUACGAGCGCAAGCUUAAAACUCAAAGGAAUUGACGGGGACCCGCACAAGCGGUGGAGCGUGUGGUUUAAUUCGAUGGUAAACGAAGAACCUUACCAAGGUUUGACAUCCCGGUAGCCGUUCUCCGAAAGGAGAAUUUCAUUUAGUUGGACCCGGUGACAGGUGAUGCAUGGCCGUCGUCAGCUCGUGUCGUGAGAUGUUGGGUUAAGUCCCGCAACGAGCGCAACCCUUAUGAUUUAGUUGGAUUUUUCUAAACAGACUGCCCUGGUAACAGGGAGGAAGGAGGGGAUGAUGUCAGGUCAGUAUUUCCCUUACGACCUUGGGGCGACACACGCGCUACAAUGGCCGGUACAAUGGGCAGCUAAGCCGCGAGGUGGAGCAAAUCCCAUCAAAGCCGGUCCCAGUUCGGAUUGCAGGCUGAAACCCGCCUGCAUGAAGCCGGAAUCGCUAGUAACC
rnacentral:rRNA from 1 species